UGAAAGUCGGUAACACCCGAAGCCAGUGGCCUAACCUUUUGGAGGGAGCUGUCGAAGGUGGGAUCGGCGAUUGGGACGAAGUCGUAACAAGGUAGCCGUACCGGAAGGUGCGGCUGGAUCACCUCCUUUCU
rnacentral:rRNA from 1 species